rnacentral:lncRNA from 1 species
UUUACUUUUCCUGGAUAAUCAUCUAAAAUCUAUUGGCAAAACAUUUGGCUCUAGCGGUAAGAGAAAAACUUUUUGGUAGGGGCGCUGUCCGCUGUCGCUGACGCUAUGACUCUAUGAGGCUAUCACUAUCGCUCUAUCAGAUUUAGAGUAUCAGCACUUCAGCAGUUUUGUUUCUGUCAUGCCGGACUGCCAGUCUGAUGUAAGUAACAGCUAGCAGACGACUAAUAAAUUAAACAAGUCAUCAAGAACAAGCAACAAUUUCAGUGGUCAAGACUCAAAUUCUAGAUUGUACUCGAUAACACGUCUUUGUACUCGGACUGAGUGAGUUGUCAGAAAAAGGAUGUUGAAAACAUUGUCAAACAGGAAUCAUGGCACCCCCUACUAGACGUCUUCAACCCUUUCAGCCUUACAACAAAGCU